AUGUCACCUUCUCGCCGCUGCAGCAUGGGAGGACGGCUGGUUCACGUGACCCUCCAGCUGGGGGAUCCAUGGUGGCUGACCGUCGAGCUCGAGGCAGAGAAGUUGAGGGCAGCAAUGGCGAGAUCCAUGCCGGCCAACCGGGCAAAGAGGAGGUCGUCGGGGAGGGACACAUCGGCAAGAUCCGGCAAUGUGUUGCACGACACGCCAGAUGUUGUGUCAUCUGCAUGCGUUGCAUCGGAACUCCAGGCCCAUCAUGGACCUCUGGCCCAACAUCGGGAUCUGACACCAUGCACGGCUUCUAUAGCCCAAGUUGCGGCCCAACCAUCAGUGCCGCUUUUGGAUAAGGCGAUUUCGACGUCUGGAGAUUAUUCUCAACUGAUUAUGGACUCUGCCGGGGAUUCUGCUAGGUUUAAUGAUAUUAUUGAUGAUAUUGUGUUCAACGUGUGGAAGUGUCAAAACUGUUUAUCUAUGAUGCACCACACAAGUUCGUGCAGCAAGCAGGUCAGAUGCCGUCGUUGCUUUAAAUCGGGCCACAGAGCCAAGGGGUGCUCCGACUCUGCGCCUUCCCCAGCUUACAGGUGGGUCCCACGUGCCAAUUCGGUUUCUUCGGAACGGUCAGCGGAGAUAUACUCGCCUGUCGCCUCGGUUUCCUCCCUGGGGUCUCUGCCCAGUCCUAUCACGCCUGCCACCCCAUCGCUUCCACCAUUGCCCGCAGAGCCACCGUCCACCACGCCGCCGCCACCUACCUCAAUGCCGCCACCCACCGCACCACCAGCUCCACCGUCACCACCGCCCAGCUUGCCGCCAUCCCUCAAGGCUACUUCCUCGCCAACAGAGCUUGCUCCGAAUCCAACAAUGGCCACCUUUGCUCUCGACCCCACGCCGUUCGUCCCGCAUGGUUUCGAGAUCAUCGAUGGUGGUCCGCAGCGUCUCCCGCGCACCUUCUACUCCCCUGCCGUCGCUCCUGAUCGUCAGCACGAAGACUACGCCAUUGCCAUCAUUGAGCCUGCUCCUUUGCCUGAAGAAGCUCUUAUCUACAGAAAUAUGAUUGGCUGGGAUGAGUUACCACCACCAGAGCAUAAUCAUGCGCCUCAGCACCAAGAUGCUCCACAUGAUGAGCCGCAUGAUGUGCAGCAGGAGCUUGUGGAUGAGAAUCAAGUGGUUGUGGAUCAGUCACAAGAAUCGAUGGUUCUACAAGUUUCAGAUGAUUCAGUUAAUAACCAGCCAGUGAAUGACAUGGUCAUUUUUCAGCAACAUGGGGCUCCCUUGCAGCCUCCUCUGCAUAUUGGACAGGUGCUCACUGUCUUUGGCCCUGUCCUGCCUCCUGACAUGUUGUGGAAGCGUUCAUUUCAGAAGAUGAUGCCCUCUCUCUGCUUUUCUGAAAUUCCAAAGUUCAUGUUCAAGUCUGGAUUUGGGUCACUUUUGCUAUCUAACAAGACUUGGGAUGUUGGCUUUAAGGAAUUUGAUCUCAGCAUUGUUCUGCCACCGGCCAGUUGCUCGGGAGUUUUGAUGAUAUUUCUGAACCUAUCUCUGAGUCUUUUGAGUUCACUGCUGCUCCAAAGGUGA
rnacentral:rRNA from 1 species